GAAUAUUGCACAAUGGGCGCAAGCCUGAUGCAGCGACGCCGCGUGGGGGAUGACGGCCUUCGGGUUGUAAACUGCUUUUGUACGGAACGAAAAGCUUUGGGUUAAUACCCUGGAGUCAUGACGGUACCGUAAGAAUAAGCACCGGCUAACUACGUGCCCGCAGCCGCGGGAAUAGGUAGGGUGCAAGCGUUAAGCGGAAUUACUGGGCGUAAAGCGUGCGCAGGCGGUUUGGUAAGACAGAGGUGAAAUCCCCGGGCUCAACCUGGGAACUGCCUUUGUGACUGCAAGGCUAGAGUACGGCAGAGGGGGGUGGAAUUCCGCGUGUAGCAGUGAAAUGCGUAGAUAUGCGGAGGAACACCGAUGGCGAAGGCAACCCCCUGGGCCUGUACUGACGCUCAUGCACGAAAGCGUGGGGAGCAAAC
rnacentral:rRNA from 1 species